rnacentral:lncRNA from 1 species
AGGGAAAUUUUGUUUUGUAUUUUUUUUUCUCAGUCUUUUCAUUUCUAUUUGAGAUUGAAGAUGGGUCACACAAUGCUGCACCCAACGACUUUCAGUCUGAGGCACGUGCAUUGAUGGUGUUUUAAUAACGUUGAAAUUUGGAUGUCUGUGGAAGUUCCAGACUUUUACUGUGAAACAUAUCAGCAAAUCUUAAGGGACGUUUCCAGCAUGAAAACAAUAAGCCUUGUUAUCUUAAAGAGUAGCUAACUUCAGCAGCUCUUCAGUUUCUUAUAUAUAUAUAUGUCCCAUCUGUCAUUGGAGGUGGCUUCUAAAGGAAACCUCUCAUUGCAGGCUGAUUCCUCCAGGAAUAUAAUAGUGACGUUGAGUGUGAACUGUUGCUCUGUGUUCUUAUCAGGUGAUCAUCAGUUCUCAUGGUUCUUUCUGUAGAUAUUGGCAAGAUCAGAUAGAAAAGUAAAAAUUAAAACAAAAUAAGUCAGUCAUGUAGAAGUCCUCUGGAGAUGCAUGGGGAGGUGAGCUGGGCUCAUCUCAUGCCAAGAGGCUUCUGAGUCGAUGCACUCGUGAGACUAUGAAAGAGAAGGAGGGAGCCAGAUAUCAGGUUUGGAAAGUAUAAAUGCAGCGUCCAGUAAGGCCUGUUGAAGAACCCUGUUUUAAAAAUAAUGAUCAUAAAUGAAAGGUGUCAUACCAACUAAGCGCAGCAUGUUAGCAACCCCUAAUUCUUGUAUGGACUGAGAGAGUUCAUGAGAUGGGUUGCUGGCUUAUGAAGAGUAUGCCGGAUCCAGCACAUCUACUCAAAGAUAACACAGAGUUUUGGGAGUCACUGAACGAAUCUGUGGUGUCUCUGCAUGCAUUCGUAGUCAUAGAGAACUUUUGUUUGCGUUGUUUUGCCUUAUGACAUCCCUAUCCGUUCAUACUAACAGGAGUCUGGGUCUCAUUUCUGGCUGCCUUUACAGUUCAUACAGGGCUAAGGGUUUGUGGAACAAAGCAUAUGUGAUGGAUGUGUGCACAAGAGAAGACUGGCCUGCAGCUGAUGUCUGCAAAUGAGUUCCUGGAGAUGAAAGGGACACAGCUCAUUGAGAUGUAUGUCAUUGGUUUUCUAAUUAACCUGAGACAGAGACACAAUGUGAGGUCUAUCCCACCCCCACCCCCCAUCUACUUUUGUGAGGGCAAUGGAAUGGGAUUUUAUGUAGGUGUAGUCCUAGAAAGGACUCUGAGAAAUGUGGCCAAGGCACUCUCCCAAACUGUAUUUCCAUUACAGGGUUGGGAUUAGAAGAAAAAGCUGGGGGACUUGAGCACAGCCAAGAGGUUAACAUUGGGGCAGAGUCAGACAUGUUCACCAGGAGUGGGAGGCGUCAAUGCAGUUCUUCCCAUGGAAGAGCUGAGGUGUGGGCGCCUUUCCUCUAGGACUCUUAUUCCUUCUUCAUAUAGACAAGGCACUGACUGCUUUUGUGUGGAGUGUUGGAGAGCUAGCUUUCUCACUGGGCACUGUUCUGGUGACAGAUCCCAGUAACUACGUGUCCUGUCUAACACUGGUCUCUUUUGCCACCUUUGUGUCAAGAAGAAAAGACGUCACUUCUCUCCUUAGCCUUUGCAUCUAAUUUGUUCUUGAUGCAAUAUGCAAAAGUUGCAUUGGGGAUGGCUAGAAUUUGGGCUCUGAGUGCAAAUAAAGGAACCAAGAUACUGUAGUGUAAAAACCACUCAUAAUCAUCUUAGAUAGGGAAAAUUAAUUGGUUACCAUUUAAUUAAAAUUAAAUGUCUAUAUAGGACGUUGGUGCAAAGCCUGAACCAGGAAGUAAAGAUGAUUAGCCUUAUAGUGAAGUUGAUUGGGCGACUGAAUCUUAACUAUUUCUUUGGUCUCUGCCAGUUGGCACUAUAAUUUUGUCUUAGCAGAAUUCCGUUCCCUGUAGCUUAACUAGAAGGGAGCCUGAAUUUCAGUUGUUCCAAAUCUAUUAUAUAAUAGAAGAGUCUUUGAAGUUUACUUCCACAUAGAGGAUUCUCUUGAUUAAUAAGGCUGAGACCUAUUUAUAUUUGCAUAACAGCUAACACUAAAUUGUGGUUUGGGUCAGAGUUUCCAAUCUAGGUCCCCUGUUGAAAGGGCUGAAGAAAGAAAGGGCCACUAUCUAAGAUGCUUCUUUUUCUCAAAAAUGGAAGGUUGCUGACGUACCUCUCAGAACUUAAAAACAAAUUUAAAAUUAUAAAACAAACAAGCUGGUAGGGGGCACAUCUUUAAUCCCAUUACUCUGGUGGCAGAGAUUCAACUUUAUCUACAUAGGGAGUUACAGGGCCUCUAAGUCUACAACAUGGGAUCCUGUCUCAAAAACCAAACCAAACCAAACCAAACCAAAACAAAAC